rnacentral:rRNA from 1 species
AUUGAACGCUGGCGGCAGGCCUAACACAUGCAAGUCGAGCGAGCGGCGGACGGGUGAGUAAUGUCUGGGAAACUGCCUGAUGGCGGGGGAUAACUACUGGAAACGGUAGCUAAUACCGCAUACCAUCAGAUGUGCCCAGAUGGGAUUAGCUAUGAGGUGGGGUAAUGGCUCACCAAGGCGACGAUCCCUAGCUGGGCUGAGAGGAUGACCAGCCAAACUGGAACUGAGACACGGUCCAGACUCCUACGGGAGGCAGCAGUGGGGAAUAUUGCACAAUGGGCGCAAGCCUGAUGCAGCCAUGCCGCGUGUGUGAAGAAGGCCUUCGGGUUGUAAAGCACUUUCAGCGGGGAGGCGUUACCCGCAGAAGAAGCACCGGCUAACUCCGUGCCAGCAGCCGCGGUAAUUC